CUUUCUACUCAGGUAGAUGUGAGCUGCACAAUCCCUCUUGGAUUCACCUCUUCCCGCUGAGUCCCUCUACAAGGUGCAGCUCCAAGUGCUGCUCCACGUGCUCUCUGACUCCUUUAUCUGCAAGGCUCCUUCCUUCUCCUCUCACACAUUGAGUCUAGCUGCCUCAGAGCUGCUGCCCCACACAAUCUUCUCUGCACCAGACCUCUUCAGCAUCUUGGCUUUCAUCUGCUGUGGAAGCAAGAACAAUCAGUGGAUUGAAUGCAGGAACUCUUAGACUGGGAAGACUAAACUGCUGUAAUGAGUUUCCUCAAUCUACAUUCACCAAAAGAAUCUUGCAGAAGCUGAUAAAACAAAAUCCCUUAGUGCUGUGCCACAACUUCAGAGAAAAUCGUGGGGAAGAGUGAGGGCAGGAGGGGAUUCUGAAAGCUGUGGAGUGGUACUGUGAUACAGCAAGGAGAAGCUCCAGAACUGAAAACUUUGUAAAUAAAAUUUCAAGGCUGCAGCUGGUGAGUGAAAUUCAGUGUGAAGUUCACAGGAUCAUUAAGGUUGGGAAAAACCUUUAAGAUCAUUAACCCAGCUCUGUCAUGUCCACCACUAAACCAUGUCUCCAAGCAUCACAUCUACAUGUUUCUUGGACAUU